rnacentral:rRNA from 1 species
GACGAACGCUGGCGGCGUGCCUAACACAUGCAAGUCGAGCGAAUGAAGUUUCUUCGGGAACGGAUUUAGCGGCGGACGGGUGAGUAACACGUGGGCAACCUGCCUCAUAGAGGGGAAUAGCCUUCCGAAAGGGAGAUUAAUACCGCAUAAGAUUGUAGUACCGCAUGGUACAGCAAUUAAAGGAGCAAUCCGCUAUGAGAUGGGCCCGCGGCGCAUUAGCUAGUUGGUGAGGUAACGGCUCACCAAGGCGACGAUGCGUAGCCGACCUGAGAGGGUGAUCGGCCACAGUGGGACUGAGACACGGCCCAGACUCCUACGGGAGGCAGCAGUGGGGAAUAUUGCACAAUGGGGGAAACCCUGAUGCAGCAACGCCGCGUGAGUGAUGACGGCCUUCGGGUUGUAAAGCUCUGUCUUCAGGGACGAUAAUGACGGUACCUGAGGAGGAAGCCACGGCUACUACGUGCCAGCCGCCGCCGUAA